rfam:Eubacterium sp. An11 An11_contig_9, whole genome shotgun sequence.
UAUACCAGAGUAUGAACGCCGAAGACAGCAGGUGCCGUGAGGCAUAAAGUGAGAACGCCUGCCGAGGAAGUUAUAUUCUGAUAGUGAAUAUUUCUCACUCUCUGUCUUUGGACAGAGAGUUUUCUUUUUGUUUCC